CUGGACAAAGACUGACGCUCAGGUGCGAAAGCGUGGGGAGCAAACAGGAUUAGAUACCCUGGUAGUCCACGCUGUAAACGAUGUCGAUUUGAAGGUUGUUCCCUUGAGGAGUGGCUUUCGGAGCUAACGCGUUAAAUCGACCGCCUGGGGAGUACGGCCGCAAGGUUAAAACUCAAAUGAAUUGACGGGGGCCCGCACAAGCGGUGGAGCAUGUGGUUUAAUUCGAUGCAACGCGAAGAACCUUACCUACUCUUGACAUCCAGAGAACUUAGCAGAGAUGCUUUGGUGCCUUCGGGAACUCUGAGACAGGUGCUGCAUGGCUGUCGUCAGCUCGUGUUGUGAAAUGUUGGGUUAAGUCCCGCAACGAGCGCAACCCUUAUCCUUUGUUGCCAGCGAUUCGGUCGGGAACUCAAAGGAGACUGCCGGUGAUAAACCGGAGGAAGGUGGGGAUGACGUCAAGUCAUCAUGGCCUUUACGAGUAGGGCUACACACGUGCUACAAUGGCGUAUACAAAGAGAAGCGACCUCGCGAGAGCAAGCGGAACUCAUAAAGUACGUCGUAGUCCGGAUUGGAGUCUGCAACUCGACUCCAUGAAGUCGGAAUCGCUAGUAAUCGUAGAUCAGAAUGCUACGGUGAAUACGUUCCCGGGCCUUGUACACACCGCCCGUCACACCAUGGGAGUGGGUUGCAAAAGAAGUAGGUAGCUUAACCUUCGGGAGGGCGCUUACCACUUUGUGAUUCAUGA
rnacentral:rRNA from 1 species